rnacentral:tRNA from 1 species
UCCUUGGUGGCUUAGAUGGUAAAGCAUCUGUCUACAAUGCAGGAUACCCGGGUUCAAUCCCUGGGUCAGGAA